UUAAGUGACUAAGCGUACACGGUGGAUGCCUGGGCAGUCAGAGGCGAUGAAGGACGUACUAACUUGCGAUAAGCGCAGAUAAGGCAGUAAGAGCCGUUUGAGUCUGCGAUUUCCGAAUGGGGAAACCCAACUGCAUAAGCAGUUACUGUUAACUGAAUACAUAGGUUAACAGAGCAAACCGGGGGAACUGAAACAUCUAAGUACCCCGAGGAGAAGAAAUCAACCGAGAUUCCGGUAGUAGCGGCGAGCGAACCUGGAUUAGCCCUUAAGCACUCGGUGAAGUAGGUGAACAAGCUGGAAAGCUUGGCGAUACAGGGUGAUAGCCCCGUAACCGACGCUUCAUCGAGCGUGAAAUCGAGUAGGGCGGGACACGUGAUAUCCUGUCUGAAUAUGGGGGACCAUCCUCCAAGGCUAAAUACUCCUGACUGACCGAUAGUGAACCAGUACCGUGAGGGAAAGGCGAAAAGAACCCCUGUGAGGGGAGUGAAAUAGAACCUGAAACCGUGUACGUACAAGCAGUAGGAGCACCUUCGUGGUGUGACUGCGUACCUUUUGUAUAAUGGGUCAGCGACUUAUAUUCAGUGGCAAGGUUAACCGUAUAGGGGAGCCGUAGCGAAAGCGAGUCUUAACUGGGCGCUCAGUCUCUGGAUAUAGACCCGAAACCGGGUGAUCUAGCCAUGGGCAGGUUGAAGGUUGAGUAACAUCAACUGGAGGACCGAACCGACUAAUGUUGAAAAAUUAGCGGAUGACUUGUGGCUAGGGGUGAAAGGCCAAUCAAACUCGGAGAUAGCUGGUUCUCCCCGAAAGCUAUUUAGGUAGCGCCUCGGACGAAUACUACUGGGGGUAGAGCACUGUUAAGGCUAGGGGGUCAUCCCGACUUACCAACCCUUUGCAAACUCCGAAUACCAGUAAGUACUAUCCGGGAGACACACGGCGGGUGCUAACGUCCGUCGUGGAGAGGGAAACAACCCAGACCGCCAGCUAAGGUCCCAAAGUAUUGCUAAGUGGGAAACGAUGUGGGAAGGCUCAGACAGCUAGGAUGUUGGCUUAGAAGCAGCCAUCAUUUAAAGAAAGCGUAAUAGCUCACUAGUCGAGUCGGCCUGCGCGGAAGAUGUAACGGGGCUAAGCAAUACACCGAAGCUGCGGCAAUGUCUUUUAGACAUUGGGUAGGGGAGCGUUCUGUAAGCCGUUGAAGGUGAAUCGUAAGGUUUGCUGGAGGUAUCAGAAGUGCGAAUGCUGACAUGAGUAACGACAAAGGGGGUGAAAAACCUCCUCGCCGGAAGACCAAGGGUUCCUGUCCAACGUUAAUCGGGGCAGGGUGAGUCGACCCCUAAGGUGAGGCCGAAAGGCGUAAUCGAUGGGAAACGGGUUAAUAUUCCCGUACUUCUGACUAUUGCGAUGGGGGGACGGAGAAGGCUAGGUGGGCCAGGCGACGGUUGUCCUGGUUCAAGUGCGUAGGCUUGAGAGUUAGGUAAAUCCGGCUCUCUCUAAGGCUGAGACACGACGUCGAGCUACUACGGUAGUGAAGUCAUUGAUGCCAUGCUUCCAGGAAAAGCCUCUAAGCUUCAGAUAGUCAGGAAUCGUACCCCAAACCGACACAGGUGGUCGGGUAGAGAAUACCAAGGCGCUUGAGAGAACUCGGGUGAAGGAACUAGGCAAAAUGGUACCGUAACUUCGGGAGAAGGUACGCUCUUGAUGGUGAAGUCCCUCGCGGAUGGAGCUGACGAGAGUCGCAGAUACCAGGUGGCUGCAACUGUUUAUUAAAAACACAGCACUGUGCAAAAUCGCAAGAUGACGUAUACGGUGUGACGCCUGCCCGGUGCCGGAAGGUUAAUUGAUGGGGUUAGCGCAAGCGAAGCUCUUGAUCGAAGCCCCGGUAAACGGCGGCCGUAACUAUAACGGUCCUAAGGUAGCGAAAUUCCUUGUCGGGUAAGUUCCGACCUGCACGAAUGGCGUAAUGAUGGCCACGCUGUCUCCACCCGAGACUCAGUGAAAUUGAAAUCGCUGUGAAGAUGCAGUGUACCCGCGGCUAGACGGAAAGACCCCGUGAACCUUUACUACAGCUUGGCACUGAACAUUGAACCUACAUGUGUAGGAUAGGUGGGAGGCUAUGAAGACGUGACGCCAGUUGCGUUGGAGCCGUCCUUGAAAUACCACCCUUGUAUGUUUGAUGUUCUAACUUAGACCCAUUAUCUGGGUUGAGGACAGUGCCUGGUGGGUAGUUUGACUGGGGCGGUCUCCUCCCAAAGAGUAACGGAGGAGCACGAAGGUGGGCUAAUCACGGUUGGACAUCGUGAGGUUAGUGCAAUGGCAUAAGCCCGCUUAACUGCGAGAAUGACGGUUCGAGCAGGUGCGAAAGCAGGUCAUAGUGAUCCGGUGGUUCUGUAUGGAAGGGCCAUCGCUCAACGGAUAAAAGGUACUCCGGGGAUAACAGGCUGAUACCGCCCAAGAGUUCAUAUCGACGGCGGUGUUUGGCACCUCGAUGUCGGCUCAUCACAUCCUGGGGCUGAAGUCGGUCCCAAGGGUAUGGCUGUUCGCCAUUUAAAGUGGUACGCGAGCUGGGUUUAGAACGUCGUGAGACAGUUCGGUCCCUAUCUGCCGUGGGCGUUGGAAGAUUGAAGGGGGCUGCUCCUAGUACGAGAGGACCGGAGUGGACGAACCUCUGGUGUUCGGGUUGUGUCGCCAGACGCAUUGCCCGGUAGCUAAGUUCGGAAUUGAUAAGCGCUGAAAGCAUCUAAGCGCGAAGCGAGCCCUGAGAUGAGUCUUCCCUGACAGUUUAACUGUCCUAAAGGGUUGUUCGAGACUAGAACGUUGAUAGGCAGGGUGUGUAAGCGUUGUGAGGCGUUGAGCUAACCUGUACUAAUUGCCCGUGAGGCUUAACCAU
rnacentral:rRNA from 1 species